AAACUAUUAUUAGCAAACCUAACUACCCAAAUUCCUAUGUCUCAGCCAAACUACCCAAAUUUCUAGCCUAAUUACUCUUUCCUAGUCGGCCAAAUUUCUAAUUUCCUAUCAAUUGAUGAUAAAUCCCUAAAUUUAUAACAUUAUAUAUUUACAUACGUUGACACCGAGGCCGAAUCUCGUCUCUUAUUAACGAAGAUUACAGAUACACUGGUCGCCGAUGCCGACUCGACUCGUUAUUCAUCUCUCAACUCCCAGCUCUUGUCAGUUGUCAUUCGUCGCCGGAGUAUUUGGUGGUAAAUGACAAAGGCAUACAAGUGCAAACAUUUCAGAAAUUGUGCUAGCCAAUAUUUUCAACCGCAUUUGAUUUGUUGCCUUCAAAAACUUCAUCUUUGACUGUUAUUAUAUGUUAAAGUUAUAAGUAAACCUCAAUAAAAAAAUUUAUCGUUAUUUGCAGUUGAUUGUAGAUGUCAUAUUAAAUGUGUGUAGCCUUGUUUAACUUGUCUAAUUUCAAUUGGACUAAUGUAACUCUCAUGGAUCAGUGGAUGAACUAUUAAGACUUCA